rnacentral:hammerhead_ribozyme from 1 species
AUAUAGCUGACGUGUCCCAAAUAGGAUGAAACGCGAAUCCUGAAU